GACGAACGCUGGCGGCGUGCUUAACACAUGCAAGUCGAACGGUGACGAUCAAGCUUGCUUGGUCUGAUCAGUGGCGAACGGGUGAGUAACACGUGAGUAACCUGCCCCAGACUCUGGGAUAACCCCGGGAAACCGGAGCUAAUACCGGAUAUGACACGCCCCUGCAUGGGGAGUGUGUGGAAAGUUUUUCGGUCUGGGAUGGACUCGCGGCCUAUCAGCUUGUUGGUGAGGUAAUGGCUCACCAAGGCGACGACGGGUAGCCGGCCUGAGAGGGCGACCGGCCACACUGGGACUGAGACACGGCCCAGACUCCUACGGGAGGCAGCAGUGGGGAAUAUUGCACAAUGGGCGAAAGCCUGAUGCAGCGACGCCGCGUGAGGGAUGACGGCCUUCGGGUUGUAAACCUCUUUCAGCAGGGAAGAAGCGCAAGUGGCAGAAGA
rnacentral:rRNA from 1 species